AGAAGAGGGGUUUCUCGAARGUCCUUAUUUUCGCGCCAGGGCAGAGAAGUUUUCCCUCCUCAGACUUCUUCGAUGGAAUUUCUGGAGCAGAUCUCGAUCGGUAACAACGCCAUGAGGGUUCCUUACUCUUCUCUCUAUCGCUCCACGACUUUACUCUCUGUUUUCAGCCAUGUUCGUGAAGCAAGCUAGGGUCAAGAAGGAACCGAAGAUGCGCCUUUUGAUUUCUACUAGGGUUUUGAUCGUCUUCACCGACAAAGUCUUCGAAAUGUUCGGAAUCAACAAUCGACGACGAGAUCAGAAUGCGACCGCCAAUGAAUUCCUCUGUCAGAGCACACUCUAGCAAGUUUUCACAUGUCACUUCUACUGUGAGUGAUCUGGUGGCUUCGACAAAGGAAGAAUAAUGGAAGGAAGGAUUGCAAUUUGGCAUUGGUAUCUACCUAUCUGAUAUUGUUACCUGCACUUUUUUUUUUGAAAUCCGUGUGUCUGGGCCAGCUUGCGCGCACCUCAACUAAUCACGGGUCAAUCGCCUGUCCCUACUACAUUUGGUUGACAAGGUAACUCGUAGGAUAUUAAAUCCUAGGUAGGUGUAGGUGGCCACCAUGGUCUGAACUCAUUCCUUCUAAGUCCUUUACUAUUUACAAAGGUCCUUAUUGACCACCUGAGCCAUCCCAUGAUGGUUGAUAUUGUUACCUGCACUUAAUCUUUUAAAUUGAAUUUCUAAAAAUAGGUUGAUUGAAAUAUGUCGUGUUUUAGUUGGAAAAACCAUUUAUUUGGCUGUCUUUCAAUUAGAUAUGGCUUGUUCAAUCUUUUAGUUCAGAUAAACAGAUCAAUGAUGAAAUAAUUGUAUGUUUCUUUAUUGGACACUAGUCGUGGAUUAUGGGUUGGAUUGUUUUUCGUUAGUAUGGAGUCAUGAUAACUUUUAGAGUUAAUUUCUCAUAGUCUCUGUAGUAAGUCAGUUAAGCUGUUUUUUACUCCUGUUUUUCUUUAGCCACCCCUUUGCAUAUAACCACUUAGUUAAAAAUGGUGGUUAUUCAAUUUGACUAAUUAUUCUGCACUAUUCCAGUAGAAGCUAGUUGUAUUGUGUAACCUAUUGAAUUUUCUCUCUCUAUGAAUGAAGGUCAUCGUUCUCUAAUUUGUUCUCUAAUUUGUACCGUGGAUGUAAUUGUAGACCAAAAGGUUGAACCACUUAAAAACUUGAGUGUUCAUUAUCCUCUCUCUUAUUUUUUGUACUUGUCUCAACUCUAUGUGUUGAUUGGUUCAUCCUUGUUUUGAUUUUGAGAGUUUUUUUUUGGUUAUAUAAGAGGUGAGGUGAAGAUCCGAACCCAACUCUGUGUGGAUGGGUCAUGAUAAUGGUUAAAGUUACUUUUUCAGUCUCUGUAAUAAGUCAUGCGAGCUAUUUUUUUCUCUAUUGUUUUUCUUUAGUUACUUUUUCAUAUAACGGUUUAGUUAUAAAAGGUGGUUACUUUAUUUGACUAAUUCUUCUGGAUUAUUCCAGUAGGUAGCUAACUUGUAUCGUUUUGAUAUUCAGCUAGUUUUUUUUCGUGUAACCUAUUGAAUUUCUUCUCUCUUUGAAUGAAGGUCAUUGAUCUCUGAGUUGUACAGUGGAUGUAGACCAGAAGGUCAAACUACUUAAAUAUUUGGGUGUUCAUUUUGCUCUCUCUUAUUAUUUGUAUUCGUAUCAACUUUGUGUUAAUUGGUUUUGUUGUUUUGACUUUGAGUGUUUUUUUAGUAGAACGACAUGUUGAUUUGGAGAUUCGAACUCAACUCUUUUUGUCCAUGGGUCAUGAUAAUUGUUGGAGUUUAUUUCUCAUAGUCUUUCUAGUAAGUCAUGUGAGCUAUUGUUUACUCUAAUGUUUUUCUCUAUUAUUGCUUCUUUCAUGUGUAACCACUUAUUUAAAAAGGGCGGUUAUUGCAUCUGAUUAAUUGUUCUGGGCUAUUCCAAUAGGCAGCUUAGGUUGUAUCGUGUAACCAAUUGAGUUUACUYUCUAUGAAUGAAGGUCAAUCUUUGAUUUGUAUAGUGGAUGUAGACCAAAAGGUCGAACCACUUAAGAAUUUGGGUGGUCAUGCUACUCUUUCUUAUUCUUUGUAUCCACUUUAUGUGUUGAUUGGUUCGGUUCUUGUUUUGAUUUGAAGUAUUUUUUUAGUACAACAACAUGUGGAGGUGGAGAUUGGAACCCAACUCUGUGUUGAUGAGUUAUAAUAACUGUUAGGGUUAAUUUCUCAUAAUCAUUAUAGUAAGUCAGGUGAGCUAUUUUUUACUCUGCUCUUUUUCUUUGGUUACUCCUUCCUAUAACCACUUAGUUAAAAGGGUGAUUAUUAUAUCUAACUAAUUCUUUUGGACUAUUCUAGUAGGUAAGUAGCUUGUAUAAUUUUGAUAUUSAGGUAGCUUGUAUUGUGUAACCCAUUGAAUUUAUUCUCUCUAUAAAUGAAGGUCAUCGAUCUCUGUUUUGUACGGUGGAUGUAGACGAGAAGGUCGAACCACUUAACUACUUGGGUGUUCAUUCUGCUCUUCUUAUUCUUUAUUCUUUGUACUUGUAUAAAUUCUUUGUGUUAGUUGGUUUUGUUGUUUUGAUUUCGAGUUUUUUUCUUUUUUAGUAGAACAACAUGUUGGUUUGGAGAUUCGAACCUAAACGCUUUGUGUCCAUGGGUCAUGAUAAUUGUUAGAGUUAAUUUCUCAUAUUCUUUGUUUUACGUUAGUCAUGUGAGUUAUUUUUUACUCUACUAUUUUUCCGUAGUUAGUACUUCAUAUAACCACUUAGUUAAAAAGGGUGGUUAUAUAUCUAACUAAGUCUUUUGGACUAUUCGAGUAGGUAGCUAGCUUGUAUCGUUUCGAUAUCCAGCUAGCUUGUAUCACGUAACACCCAUUGAAUUUCUUCUCUCUAUGAAUGAAGGUUAUCAAUAUCUGAUUUAUAUCGUGGAUGUAGACCAAAAAGGUUGAACCAUUUAAAUACUCRGGAGAACAUGUUGGUUUGGAGAUUCGGACCCAACUCUUUUUGUCGAUGGGUCAUGAUAACCUGUUAGCUUUGUUGCAAGUCAUGUGAGGUAUUUUUCUUUAGUUAUCCCUUCUUUAUGUAACCACUUAGUUAAAAAGGGUGGUUGUUGUAUCUGACUAAUUGUUUUGAACUCUUUUAGUAGGUAGAUAAGCUUGUAUCGUGUUACCCAUUGAAUUUCUUCUCUCUUUGAAUGAAGGUCAUUGAUUUUUGAUU